UGGCUCAGUGGUUAAGAGCACUGGCUGCUCUUCCGGAGGACCUGGGUUCAAUUCCCAG
rnacentral:tRNA from 1 species